rnacentral:rRNA from 1 species
AUGCACGCUGGCGGCGUGCCUAAUACAUGCAAGUCGAGCGAACAGACGAGGAGCUUGCUCCUCUGACGUUAGCGGCGGACGGGUGAGUAACACGUGGAUAACCUACCUAUAAGACUGGGAUAACUUCGGGAAACCGGAGCUAAUACCGGAUAAUAUAUUGAACCGCAUGGUUCAAUAGUGAAAGACGGUUUUGCUGUCACUUACAGAUGGAUCCGCGCCGCAUUAGCUAGUUGGUAAGGUAACGGCUUACCAAGGCAACGAUGCGUAGCCGACCUGAGAGGGUGAUCGGCCACACUGGAACUGAGACACGGUCCAGACUCCUACGGGAGGCAGCAGUAGGGAAUCUUCCGCAAUGGGCGAAAGCCUGACGGAGCAACGCCGCGUGAGUGAUGAAGGUCUUCGGAUCGUAAAACUCUGUUAUUAGGGAAGAACAAAUGUGUAAGUAACUAUGCACGUCUUGACGGUACCUAAUCAGAAAGCCACGGCUAACUACGUG